GUGAGCUUCUCCUCAAAAGCAGCAGGGGGCAGAUCCUGGGCUGGUUAAAAAGCAUCUGGAGCCUCUCCUUGCUGUCCCAGGCAGUGAUGGUACGAGUUUCUGCAUGGGAACUACAGCCAUGGCUGUGCUUGGUGCCAUUAGUGUCCCCUUAGCCCUGCCGUUGGGGCUGUUGGAGGCAAGUCCUCGCUCCUGGAGAGUGUGUCAGAAGCUGGCUGUGAGCAGGUGGCUUUGCUUCCCUCUGUGCUGUUCAGGUAUGGCUAUGGAGAGGGGAAUCCUGAGGACACGUAGAUGGUCUGAACUGCAACUGGCACAAGCUGGAGGUUUUUCAUUGUCCAUCUGUGUUUUAUGUCUAAACUCGUUAACAUUUGAUGGUCCUUCCAUACAAAGGCCAGUAAAUGAUACAAAUGGCUGGAAGUUGGAGAGGAUUUACAAGCUCGCCUUUCUGUUUUCCUGUGCAGCAGGAGGUAUAAACACUUCAAAUGUUCUUUCUCCAGGAUCGUUCUCUUCCAAGCACGUGCAAGUGCUUCAUGUGGCUGAAUUUCUUGGGAUGAUGAAGCACCAAAGAUGCUGUUGGGUGCUAAGAUGACAGUUCCAAAAGUGAGCUGGUUCUACAGCUAGGUAUUCAAGUUUAUGUUAAGAGAUACGAGCAUAACUGAGUCCUGACAGCAGGGGAUGCUGAGCGUGUGCCUCACGUCUCUGCCCUGUUGAGAGUCACAACACAGCAGGAGGGAGCUAGAGAAGACAGCAACAUCAGCAAUCUCACAAGUGCCCUGAUCUGCGAGGAGCCUGGAUUCCCAGCGAGGCGUGAAGGGCUACGCAGAGCUGCGGGGGAGAUGGCAGGAUCUGC